AGUGAACGCUGGCGGUAGGCCUAACACAUGCAAGUCGAACGGCAGCACAGUAAGAGCUUGCUCUUACGGGUGGCGAGUGGCGGACGGGUGAGGAAUACAUCGGAAUCUACUUUUUCGUGGGGGAUAACGUAGGGAAACUUACGCUAAUACCGCAUACGACCUACGGGUGAAAGCAGGGGAUCUUCGGACCUUGCGCGAUUGAAUGAGCCGAUGUCGGAUUAGCUAGUUGGCGGGGUAAAGGCCCACCAAGGCGACGAUCCGUAGCUGGUCUGAGAGGAUGACUAGCCACACUGGAACUGAGACACGGUCCAGACGCCUACGGGAGGCAGCAGUGGGGAAUAUUGGACAAUGGGCGCAAGCCUGAUCCAGCCAUACCGCGUGGGUGAAGAAGGCCUUCGGGUUGUAAAGCCCUUUUGUUGGGAAAGAAAAGCAGCAGGUUAAUACCCCGCUGUUCUGACGGUACCCAAAGAAUAAGCACCGGCUAACUUCGUG
rnacentral:rRNA from 1 species